GUGCUCGCUUCGGCAGCACAUACACUAAAACUGGAACGAUACAGAGAAGAUUAGCAUGGCCCCUGCGCAAGGACGACACGCAGAUUCGUGAUGCGUUCCAUACUUCA
ensembl:snRNA U6 U6 spliceosomal RNA